rnacentral:rRNA from 1 species
UGGGGAAUAUUGCACAAUGGGCGAAAGCCUGAUGCAGCAACGCCGCGUGAGUGAUGAAGGUCUUCGGAUUGUAAAGCUCUGUCUUUUGGGACGAUAAUGACGGUACCAAAGGAGGAAGCCACGGCUAACUACGUGCCAGCAGCCGCGGUAAUACGUAGGUGGCGAGCGUUGUCCGGAUUUACUGGGCGUAAAGGGUGCGUAGGCGGAUGUUUAAGUGAGAUGUGAAAUACCCGGGCUUAACUUGGGUGC